UGGGGAUAUAGCUCAGUGGUAGGGCACUUAUCUAGCAUCAUGUGAAAAGGCCUGGGUUUGAUUCUCAGCCCCACAAAAACAAAAAAACACAGAAAACAAACAAAAACAUGAAUUUCCAAUUGUUCCUACUGGUCUCUGAACUUUAGAAAUGGCAUUCUGUUCUUGUUUCAUGAGCUCCAUGCUUUCUGUAACUUUCCAAAGAUAUCUAUGGUGGUUAGUUUUUAAAACAUUUUCCUUCCAGAAACUGUUUCCUCCAAGUAGAUUUUUCCUUGAUUAUUGUUUUGGCUGUAUAAUUCAGGUUAGAAGGUUUCCUGAGAUGACUGACGAUCCCUGGUUGUCUACUGACAUUGAAGAGUAAAAAGCUGAUGGCUGACAGGAAGCAUUCAGUGGCUAUGUCUACCAGGAGGUGAUCUGGCUGGAUCAUUUGUGGAAUAUUUGAUACAAACAUGUCUAAAUUAUUCUUCUUGUGAUGGCCAUAGUCAGAUCUCAGCACCCGCCAUGCACUUGUCUGUUUCAUCUGUUUGUUUUCAGCACAGUAUCCCUGUCCUCAGUUUUGGCUAAUGCCUUUCAGUCCAAGACAGUUUGUAACUCCAGACACUAAACCUCAAGCUUUAGACGAGAAUGUGGGGAGGACAAUCUAAUAGCUUUGUGGAGUGAGAAGAAGGAUUUGUGUUACUGGAUUUUUAAAAACAGACCUUCAAAAAAAAUAAAUAAAAACAGACCUUCAAACAUUAAUCUAUUUAAAGUUCUUCCUUUGGAGCACCCCUACAUCACUGGCCAAAAUGUGGCCUACCCCAGAGCCUUUUGAAAUGUGUAAUACAGAUCACAGUGGUUACUAGGUUUUUGUGAUGUUGGCUGAGGACUUAGUCUUAUUUUUUUAAGUCUCUGAGUUCUUUCUAAUUUUUCUAGCUCCCUUAAAAAUUCUGGAAAUGUGGAAAGGUCCAGCAUGUAGGUGACUCUGUCAGUGUGGCCAUGGCACAUGGAAAGCUACAGGAGGCUGAGCAGCAAAACCAGUCAGACCGAGUGAUUCUGUGGCCACACUCAGUUGUAUGAGGGGGCAGAGAACAGAGCAUUGGGGCCCUUUAGAGAGAGAAGAGCAGAAAGGGGAGCAGAAAGAGGUGGAAGUCAGAGAGCUGCAUCAGCGCUUGUUAAGGAAGGAACUGGAGCAUCAGGCCUCACUGGAGAAAGUUGAGGAAGGGGCAGUGGCUGGAGGGGAAGCAAGAACACUGAAUGCCAAGCAGGACUUGAAAAGAUGGCUACACCAUGCAUAGCAGGCUCCAAAACCAGCAACAGAAAGUCUGACAAAUAAUAGAGCAGGGCCUGAAUCCAAAAUCUGUGAUCCAGUCCAGGGGUGCCUGUCCGGGAGGUUCAGGGGAAAGCAACUUAUUUGGAGGCAGGGGACAUAGAAGUUCAUGACUGCAUAGAAAACAAAACAGCAAUGGUGGCUUCAGGACGCAGCCCUAGACCAAGACAGAGAAUCUGGCUAUGUUAGGAUAUCCAAGCCCCCAGCCUUGCUCCCUACACCUGUCAUCGGCACAAUGGAACCCUGAGUGUGAGGAGAUGGAUGCACCAUGAGUGCUGCCUCUUACCUACCAGGAAGCCCACCACCCUUUAGGUCAUUAGCACUGAUUUUGGCCUCCUGGUUUUUUUCUGGCUAAACCAGGGCUGAAGGCUCAUGUGUUUGCUGGUGCCAUGGAGCACAAGAGCCACCACCGGAUGCUGUAGAUCCAUGGAAAACAUCACCCUGGCAUCAGGAGCCAGGCAGUCUCCAUAUUCCCACAGUUAGUGUUUCUGUCUAU
ensembl:lncRNA